AGCGUAGGCGGUUUUUUAAGUGGGGUGUGAAAUCCCUGGGCUUAACCCAGGAAUUGCAUUCCAAACUGGAAGACUAGAGUGCAGGAGAGGAAAGUGGAAUUCCAAGUGUAGCGGUGAAAUGCGUAGAGAUUUGGAGGAACACCAGUGGCGAAGGCGACUUUCUGGACUGUAACUGACGCUGAGGCUCGAGAGCGUGGGGAGCAAACAGGAUUAGAUACCCUGGUAGUCCACGCUGUAAACGAUGAAUACUAGGUGUUGGGGGCGAAGCCCUCAGUGCCGCAGUUAACACAUUAAGUAUUCCGCCUGGGGAGUACGAUCGCAAGAUUAAA
rnacentral:rRNA from 1 species